rnacentral:rRNA from 1 species
CCUACGGGUGGCAGCAGUGGGGGAUAUUGCACAAUGGGGGAAACCCUGAUGCAGCGACGCCGCGUGUGGGAAGACGGUCCUCUGGAUUGUAAACCACUGUCCCCAGGGACGAAGAUGACGGUACCUGGGGAGGAAGCUCCGGCUAACUACGUGCCAGCAGCCGCGGUAAUACGUAGGGAGCAAGCGUUGUCCGGAAUUACUGGGUGUAAAGGGAGCGUAGGCGGGAUGGCAAGUUGGGUGUUAAAUCUACCGGCUCAACUGGUAGUCGCACUCGAAACUGCUAUUCUUGAGUGAAGUAGAGGCAGGCGGAAUUCCUAGUGUAGCGGUGAAAUGCGUAGAUAUCACGCAGAACCCCGAUUGCGAAGGCAGCAUACCGGUGCACAACUGACGCUCAGGCACGAAAGCGUGGGUAUCGAACAGGAUUAGAUACCCCGGUAGUC